AGAAAUCUUUUGUAUCAAUACCGCAAGAGGUGGGGCAGCCCAUGCAUGCAUCAUCGCCUCAACACAUGCAUGCAUGAUUAACAUACAACAGUAGUUCCAAAUUGUUAUACCUAAACAAACUCUAUCUAAUUCUUAACUCCGUCCCAGGUGGUGUUGCAUCAGCAUUUUCUUAUAAAGAUAUAUAGGUUAAAAAAAUAAUAACUGCUUUAGGCGUUUAUAUCUGACAUUGUUAAUUUGAUGUUCCAAUAGUGUGAUAUAGCUCUGUGCACAUUCUAAAUUUAUUUCACUAAAAUAUUUUGGCAAAACCAACAGAACAAAAUAAGAAGUAUUUUUAUAGCCGCAAUAUACUUCCGCUGUAUAAACUAGCCUACUUUGUUCCAUGCUCAG